AUGAGCUCGGCUUCGCGCGGCAGCGGCCAGUUACUUGGAGGCUACUGGCGGGCUUGGGAGUUGUGGGUUUACGCCUACUUUCCUAGGCUUGCCCCCGUACCAGUCACAGAGACUCCCCUGGUCGUCCCCUUCUCACGGCGCUUUGACGGGAGAUGCACCCGGCGGCCGCGAGAGACUUUCGGCUUUUUCCGCCGAUACUUCGACACCAUUACCCCGGCCGAGAUCACUUGGCGGCCGUGGGCUCCGUUGCCAGCUGUGACUCGAGAU